rnacentral:rRNA from 1 species
UACGUAGGGCGCAAGCGUUGUCCGGAAUUAUUGGGCGUAAAGAGCUCGUAGGCGGCUUGUCACGUCGGAUGUGAAAGCCCGGGGCUUAACUCCGGGUCUGCAUUCGAUACGGGCUAGCUAGAGUGUGGUAGGGGAGAUCGGAAUUCCUGGUGUAGCGGUGAAAUGCGCAGAUAUCAGGAGGAACACCGGUGGCGAAGGCGGAUCUCUGGGCCAUUACUGACGCUGAGGAGCGAAAGCAUGGGUAGCGAACAGG